CCUACGGGAGGCAGCAGUGGGGAAUAUUGCGCAAUGGGCGAAAGCCUGACGCAGCGACGCCGCGUGAGGGAUGAAGGUCUUCGGAUCGUACACCUCUGUCAGCAGGGAAGAACGGUCACUGUGCUAAUCAGCAGUGAAUUGACGGUACCUGACCAAGAAGCCCCGGCUAACUACGUGCCAGCAGCCGCGGUAAUACGUAGGGGGCAAGCGUUAUCCGGAUUUACUGGGUGUAAAGGGGGCGCAGACGGCAAUGCAAGCCAGGAGUGAAAGCCCGGGGCCCAACCCCGGGACUGCUCUUGGAAAGGCAUGGCGUGAGUACAGGAGGGGCAGGCGGAAUUCCUAGUGGAGCGGUGAAAUGCGUAGAUAUUAGGAGGAACACCGGUGGCGAAGGCGGCCUGCUGGACUGUGACUGACGUUGAGGCCCGAAGGCGUGGGGAGCAAACAGGAUUAGAGACCCGAGUAGUC
rnacentral:rRNA from 1 species